rnacentral:rRNA from 1 species
UACGGAGGGGGCUAGCGUUGUUCGGAAUUACUGGGCGUAAAGCGCACGUAGGCGGCUUUGUAAGUUAGAGGUGAAAGCCCGGGGCUCAACUCCGGAAUUGCCUUUAAGACUGCAUCGCUCGAAUUGUGGAGAGGUAAGUGGAAUUCCGAGUGUAGAGGUGAAAUUCGUAGAUAUUCGGAAGAACACCAGUGGCGAAGACGACUUACUGGACACAUAUUGACGCUGAGGUGCGAAAGCGUGGGGAGCAAACAGG